CCUAGGGAGGCAGCAGUGGGGAAUAUUGGACAAUGGGCGCAAGCCUGAUCCAGCCAUGCCGCGUGAGUGAUGAAGGCCUUAGGGUUGUAAAGCUCUUUCACCGGAGAAGAUAAUGACGGUAUCCGGAGAAGAAGCCCCGGCUAACUUCGUGCCAGCAGCCGCGGUAAUACGAAGGGGGCUAGCGUUGUUCGGAAUUACUGGGCGUAAAGCGCACGUAGGCGGAUUAAUAAGUCAGGGGUGAAAUCCCGGGGCUCAACCUCGGAACUGCCUUUGAUACUGUUAAUCUGGAGUCCAGAAGAGGUGAGUGGAAUUCCGAGUGUAGAGGUGAAAUUCGUAGAUAUUCGGAGGAACACCAGUGGCGAAGGCGGCUCACUGGUCUGGUACUGACGCUGAGGUGCGAAAGCGUGGGGAGCAAACA
rnacentral:rRNA from 1 species